CACCGCCCGUCACAUCACGAAAGUGGGUUGUACUAGAAGCGCCAGCGCUAACCCGUAAGGGAGGCAUGGUGUAACGGUAUGAUCCAUGAUUGGGGUG
rnacentral:rRNA from 1 species